rnacentral:rRNA from 1 species
UACAGAGGUCUCAAGCGUUGUUCGGAUUCAUUGGGCGUAAGGGUGCGUAGGUGGCGCUGUAAGUCGGGUGUGAAAUUUCGGAGCUUAACUCCGAAACUGCAUUCGAUACUGCGGUGCUUGAGGACUGGAGAGGAGACUGGAAUUCAUGGUGUAGCAGUGAAAUGCGUAGAGAUCAUGAGGAAGACCAGUGGCGAAGGCGGGUCUCUGGACAGUUCCUGACACUGAGGCACGAAGGCCAGGGGAGCAAACGGG